rnacentral:rRNA from 1 species
CAGCCGCCACGGUAAUACGAAGGGGGCUAGCGUUGUUCGGAUUUACCGGGCGUAAAGCGCACGUAGGCGGAUCCUUAAGUCAGAGGUGAAAUCCCAAGGCUCAACCUUGGAACUGCCUUUUAUACUGGGGAUCUCGAGUUCGGGAGAGGUGAGUGGAACUGCGAGUGUAGAGGUGAAAUUCAUAGAUAUUCGCAAGAACACCAGUGGCGAAGGCGGCUCACUGGCCCGAUACUGACGCUGAGGUGCGAAAGCGUGGGGAGCAAACAGGAUUAGAUACCCGGGUAGUCCCUGUCUCUUAUAC